AGAGUUUGAUCCUGGCUCAGAUUGAACGCUGGCGGCAUGCCUAACACAUGCAAGUCGAACGGUAACAGGCCGCUGGGAUCCCUUCGGGGUGACCUUGGCGCUGACGAGUGGCGGACGGGUGAGUAAUACUUAGGAAUCUGCCCAGUAGUGGGGGACAACUCGAGGAAACUCGAGCUAAUACCGCAUACGCCCUACGGGGGAAAGCGGGGGAUCUUCGGACCUCGCGCUAUUGGAUGAGCCUAAGUCGGAUUAGCUUGUUGGUGGGGUAAAGGCCUACCAAGGCGACGAUCCGUAGCUGGUCUGAGAGGACGAUCAGCCACACUGGGACUGAGACACGGCCCAGACUCCUACGGGAGGCAGCAGUGGGGAAUAUUGGACAAUGGGCGCAAGCCUGAUCCAGCAAUGCCGCGUGUGUGAAGAAGGCCUGCGGGUUGUAAAGCACUUUCAGUAGAGAAGAAAAGCUUACGGUUAAUACCCGUGAGUCUUGACGUAACCUACAGAAGAAGCACCGGCUAACUCCGUGCC
rnacentral:rRNA from 1 species